GACGAACGCUGGCGGCGUGCUUAACACAUGCAAGUCGAACGAUGAAGAAAAGACUCGAAGCUUCGGCAGAAAUUCAUUUCGGAUUAGUGGCAGACGGGUGAGUAACGCGUGAGCAACCUACCUCUUACAAAGGGAUAGCCUCGGGAAACCGGGAUUAAUACCAUAUAACAUUGCGACGAAGCAUUUCGAUGCAAUCAAAGCUACGGCGGUAAGAGAUGGGCUCGCGUCCCAUUAACCGGAUGGUGAGGCAACGGCUCACCUUAGUGACGAUGGGUAACCGGCCUGAGAGGGUGAACGGUCACACUGGAACUGAGACACGGUCCAGACUCCUACGGGAGGCAGCAGUGGGGAAUAUUGCACAAUGGAGGGAACUCUGAUGCAGCGACGCCGCGUGAGUGAUGAAGGAAUUCGUUUCGUAAAACUCUGUUCUAUGGGAAGAAAAGGACUGUACCAUAGGAGAAAGCUCCGGCUAAAUACGUG
rnacentral:rRNA from 1 species